GAGUCUCAGAACAAUACCACGUGAGAUGUUCUGUCUGCCUGCUUGUCUGUCUAUCUGAUUUAGAAGGCAAAGUCACCAAAAGCCUUGGCAACUAGCUCCGCAUCUCUGCAGGCUUAAGUGGCAGAGUGUGGGGUGCAUAUGGUCUUUACCCCGAAGAGUAGACUCCACUUUGAAGACCGAUCCUCUUGAGACCAGCAUCUCUGCUCUUACACGUCCUUCUUGUGAGGUUGUUGAGGAACCCACAAUCAAAGAAGUUGAAGGUAAAUCCCUAUUGUUGAAGAUGCCAUGCACUUCAGGCACAGCACUCAAGAGACCAAGCUAUAUGUAACCUUGAAGACCAGCUUUCAUAUUACCUGCAGGAACUAUACAAGCUGCCAAGGAAGGGAAGCCAUUAAUAGUCCUACCUAGCUAUGGCACCAACGAACCACAACAAUAACCAGCAUGGCAUGAUAACCCUAAGGGCGCAGUAGUGGCACACAUAUCCUGGUGGUAACCAACAGCUCUCUAAUUGGACUUAAGAACUGCUCAAAGGGCCAGGGGAGAUUAUGCAUGGUACUGAGAACUUAGCCAACUACUCACUCGGGGCUAGUAAGAUCAUGGUUGCUGAAGGAGAAACUACAACUGCUACUUUACUAAACCAACAUGAUUCCUGACUGCAUUCUAAAUAUUUAAUUCUUAUACUCACCCCUCAUACAAAGAAACU
rnacentral:lncRNA from 1 species